CCUUAUGGUUGUAAAGCACUUUAAGCGAGGAGGAGGCUACUUUAGUUAAUACCUAGAGAUAGUGGACGUUACUCGCAGAAUAAGCACCGGCUAACUCUGUGCCAGCAGCCGCGGUAAUACAGAGGGUGCGAGCGUUAAUCGGAUUUACUGGGCGUAAAGCGUGCGUAGGCGGCUUAUUAAGUCGGAUGUGAAAUCCCCGAGCUUAACUUGGGAAUUGCAUUCGAUACUGGUGAGCUAGAGUAUGGGAGAGGAUGGUAGAAUUCCAGGUGUAGCGGUGAAAUGCGUAGAGAUCUGGAGGAAUACCGAUGGCGAAGGCAGCCAUCUGGCCUAAUACUGACGCUGAGGUACGAAAGCAUGGGGAGCAAACAGGAUUAGAUACCCUGGUAGUCCAUGCCGUAAACGAUGUCUACUAGCCGUUGGGGCCUUUGAGGCUUUAGUGGCGCAGCUAACGCGAUAAGUAGACCGCCUGGGGAGUACGGUCGCAAGACUAAAACUCAAAUGAAUUGACGGGGGCCCGCACAAGCGGUGGAGCAUGUGGUUUAAUUCGAUGCAACGCGAAGAACCUUACCUGGCCUUGACAUACUAGAAACUUUCCAGAGAUGGAUUGGUGCCUUCGGGAAUCUAGAUACAGGUGCUGCAUGGCUGUCGUCAGCUCGUGUCGUGAGAUGUUGGGUUAAGUCCCGCAACGAGCGCAACCCUUUUCCUUACUUGCCAGCAUUUCGGAUGGGAACUUUAAGGAUACUGCCAGUGACAAACUGGAGGAAGGCGGGGACGACGUCAAGUCAUCAUGGCCCUUACGGCCAGGGCUACACACGUGCUACAAU
rnacentral:rRNA from 1 species